UACGUAGGGGGCAAGCGUUAUCCGGAAUUAUUGGGCGUAAAGAGUGCGUAGGUGGUUACCUAAGCGCAGGGUUUAAGGCAAUGGCUCAACCAUUGUUCGCCUUGCGAACUGGGCUACUUGAGUGCAGGAGAGGAAAGCGGAAUUCCUAGUGUAGCGGUGAAAUGCGUAGAUAUUAGGAGGAACACCAGUGGCGAAGGCGACUUUCUGGACUGUUACUGACACUCAGAGACGAAAGCUAGGGUAGCAAAUGGG
rnacentral:rRNA from 1 species